rnacentral:tRNA from 1 species
AGGAGUUUAGGUUAAACUAGACCAAGAGCCUUCAAAGCUCUAAGUAAGUAGCACAUACUUAACUCCUG